UCUAGAGGAGCACCUGCAGAAGUCUCAAUCUCGCACACGAGACACACUCUGGCUGUCGCUGACCUUUUGUAAGAGGGGUCGUGCACGCCAGAGUGCUCUCACUACAUCCAUCUCACCCUUUUGUGCACCACCGCGUGGGCCUUCCUCGUUUCGAGGGGGGCUUGUGUUUUUACACAAAUACUCGAUGCGAUAUAGAAUGUAUUAUCUCUUUGCGAUCACACGCAAUAAAUACAACUUUCAACAACGGAUCUCUUGGCUCUCGCAUCGAUGAAGAACGCAGCGAAAUGCGAUACGUAAUGUGAAUUGCAGAAUUCAGUGAAUCAUCGAAUCUUUGAACGCACCUUGCGCCCCUUGGCAUUCCGAGGGGCACACCCGUUUGAGUGUCGUGAAAUCUUCAAAAUCCUCUCUUUGACCUUUUCUAUCGAGGAGAGGAUUUUGGACUUGGAGGCUCGAUGCUGGGGUUUGCUUUCAAAAGGUGAGCUCCUCCCACAUGGAUUAGUGGAGGUCCGUGUCGCUCGAUCCUCGACGUGAUAAGAUGUUUCUACGUUUUGGAUUGGGUGCCGUCCCACUUCUAACCGUCUCUUGGACGACGAUGGCGUUCCGGUCCCACCACCGUAUCAUCGGUCGGGGAGGCUUGACCCACAAAAAGAACCUGACCUCAAAUCGGGUGAGACUGCCCGCUGAACUUAAGCAUAUCAAUAAGCGGAGGA
rnacentral:sRNA from 1 species